GGAUACAGCCACUGACAGCCCAAAAGCAGCCCAGGGAGCAGCUGGCGUGUCCUGGUGAUGGUGGCACGGGCUGCGUGCAGAGGGGCUCAGACAGCAAUUCCUGGUUCCAGCCUCCCAGAGCUCCCAGGCAGCUGCCAGCUAUUAAAUGCCAACCGACAGCCUGCAGAGAUGCCUUCAAAUCAAAGGUUCAGGUGGGAUGAAGUUUUGUUUGGACAAUGGUGGGAGUUUCCAGGGAGCCAGCUGGAAGUGCAGAAGGGAUGGAAAGCUUUCCCAGGUGCUGGACUUGCCUCUGUGGAUGUGUGCUGAGCUCUCACUACAG